GACGAACGCUGGCGGCGUGCUUAACACAUGCAAGUCGAACGGAAAGGCCCUGCUCUUGUGGGGUGCUCGAGUGGCGAACGGGUGAGUAACACGUGAGUAACCUGCCCUUGACUUUGGGAUAACUUCAGGAAACUGGGGCUCAUACCGGAUAGGAGCUCCUGCUGCAUGGUGGGGGUUGGAAAGUUUCGGCGGUUGGGGAUGGACUCGCGGCUUAUCAGCUUGUUGGUGGGGUAGUGGCUUACCAAGGCUUUGACGGGUAGCCGGCCUGAGAGGGUGACCGGCCACAAUGGGACUGAGAUACGGCCCAGACUCCUACGGGAGGCAGCAGUGGGGAAUAUUGCACAAUGGGCGGAAGCCUGAUGCAGCAACGCCGCGUGCGGGAUGACGGCCUUCGGGUUGUAAACCGCUUUCGCCUGUGACGAAGCGUGAGUGACGGUAAUGGGUAAAGAAGCACCGGCUAACUACGUG
rnacentral:rRNA from 1 species